rnacentral:rRNA from 1 species
GAUGAACGCUGGCGGCGUGCCUAAUACAUGCAAGUCGAGCGAACGGACGAGGAGCUUGCUUUUCUGAUGUUAGCGGCGGACGGGUGAGUAACACGUGGAUAACCUACCUAUAAGACUGGGAUAACUUCGGGAAACCGGAGCUAACCCGGGAGAAGCUUUUGAACCAUGGGGUGCAAAGGAAAAAUUCGGCGUUGUGGUAUGUAAUCGCGGCUUCUCGGCUGCUUGAGCUGGUUGUUAAGUUACCGGCUUACCAAGGCAACGAGGCCUAGCCGACUUGAGAGGGUGAUCGGCCACACGGGAACGGGAACACGCACCAGAGUCCUACGGGAGGCAGCAGUAGGGAAUCGGCCGCAAUGGGCGAAAGCCUGACGGAGCAACGCCGCGUGAGUGAUGAAGGUCUUCGGAUCGUAAAACUCUGUUAUUAGGGAAGAACAGAUGUGUAAGGAACUGUGCACAUCUUGACGGUACCUAAUCAGAAAGCCACGGCUAACUACGUG